rnacentral:tRNA from 1 species
GCUAUCGUAGCUUAAAUCAAAGCAUAACACUGAAGAUGUUAAGAUGAGCCCUAGAAAGCUCCGAAAGCA